rnacentral:rRNA from 1 species
UAGAGGAAGUAAAAGUCGUAACAAGGUUUCCGUAGGUGAACCUGCGGAAGGAUCAUUAUUGAAUCUUUUGAAAGGAGCUGUUUGCUGGCCCUUAAUCUUGGGCAUGUGCACGCUUCGUUCAAAUUCCAAACCCUCAUACACCUGUGCACCUUUUGUAGGACCGGUCGAAAGGCCGUUCCUAUGUUCAUUUAUAAACUCAACAGUAUGUGUAGAAUGUCAACGCGUGUAACGCAUCUUUAUACAACUUUCAGCAACGGAUCUCUUGGCUCUCGCAUCGAUGAAGAACGCAGCGAAAUGCGAUAAGUAAUGUGAAUUGCAGAAUUCAGUGAAUCAUCGAAUCUUUGAACGCACCUUGCGCUCCUUGGUAUUCCGAGGAGCAUGCCUGUUUGAGUGUCAUGGAAUCAUCAACUCUUUUCCUUCUUUGUUGAAGGGAUUGAGCUUGGACUUGGAGGCUUUAUGCCGGCCUUUGCGGGGGGUCGGCUCCUCUUGAAUGCAUUAGCUUGAACCUUUGCUGUAUCAGCUGUUCGGUGUGAUAAUUGUCUACGCCGUCACUGUGAAGCAUUACAUUUUUGUGGGGCUCAGCUUCUAACCGUCCUGUAAAGGGGACAACAUCAUAAUUGACCUCUGACCUCAAAUCAGGUAGGAUUACCCGCUGAACUUAAGCAUAUCAAUA